rnacentral:rRNA from 1 species
UUACUGGGCGUAAAGCGUACGUAGGCGGAUUAGUAAGUUAGAGGUGAAAUCCCAGGGCUCAACCCUGGAACUGCCUUUAAUACUGCUAGUCUAGAGUUCGAGAGAGGUGAGUGGAAUUCCAAGUGUAGAGGUGAAAUUCGUAGAUAUUUGGAGGAACACCAGUGGCGAAGGCGGCUCACUGGCUCGAUACUGACGCUGAGGUACGAAAGUGUGGGGAGCAAACAGGAUUAGAUACCCUGGUAGUCCACACCGUAAACGAUGGACACUAGUUGUUGGAAUUAUUCAGUGACUAAGCGAAAGUGAUAAGUGUCCCACCUGGGGAGUACGAUCGCAAGAUUGAAACUCAAAGGAAUUGACGGGGGCCCGCACAAGCGGUGGAGCGUGUGGUUUAAUUCGAUGCAACGCGAAGAACCUUACCUACUCUUGACAUACUAGAAACUUUUCAGAGAUGAAUUGGUGCCUUCGGGAAUCUAGAUACAGGUGCUGCAUGGCU